CUACGGGUCGCAGCAGUAGGGAAUAUUGCACAAUGGGCGCAAGCCUGAUGCAGCCAUGCCGCGUGUAUGAAGAAGGCCUUCGGGUUGUAAAGUACUUUCAGCGGGGAGGAAGGGAGUAAAGUUAAUACCUUUGCUCAUUGACGUUACCCGCAGAAGAAGCACCGGCUAAUUCCGUGCCAGCAGCCGCGGUAAUACGGAGGGUGCAAGCGUUAAUCGGAAUUACUGGGCGUAAAGCGCACGCAGGCGGUUUGUUAAGUCAGAUGUGAAAUCCCCGGGCUCAACCUGGGAACUGCAUCUGAUACUGGCAAGCUUGAGUCUCGUAGAGGGGGGUAGAAUUCCAGGUGUAGCGGUGAUAUGCGUAGAGAUCUGGAGGAAUACCGGUGGCGAAGGCGGCCCCCUGGACGAAGACUGACGCUCAGGUGCGAAAGCGUGGGGAGCAAACAGGAUUAGAUACCCCAGUAGUC
rnacentral:rRNA from 1 species